rnacentral:rRNA from 1 species
GACGAACGCUGGCGGCGUGCUUAACACAUGCAAGUCGAACGGAAAGGACCUGCCUUUGUGGUCUGCUCGAGUGGCGAACGGGUGAGUAACAAGUGGGUAACCUGCCCUUGACUUUGGGAUAACUUCAGGAAACUGGGGCUAAUACCCCAUAGGUGCUCCUGCUGCAUGGUGGGGGAUGGAAAGUUUCGGCGGUUGGGGAUGGACUCGCGGCGUAUCAGCUUGCUGGUGGGGUAGUGGCUUACCAAGGCACUGACCGGCAGCGGGGCUGAGAGGGUGACCGGCAACAUUAGGACUGAGAUACGGCACAGACUACAACCGGAGGCGGCAGUGGGGAAGAUUACAUAACGGGAGGGAGCCUGCUGCAGCAACGCCGCGUGGGGGAUGACGGCCAGCGGGUUGUAAACCGCUUUCGCCUGUGACGAAGCGUGAGUGACGGUAAUGGGUAAAGAAGCACCGGCUAAAUACGUG